GCGUCUGUAGCUCAACUGGAUAGAGUACAGGAUUACGAAUCCUGGGGUUGGAGGUUCAAGUCCUCCCAGACGCGCCA
rnacentral:tRNA from 1 species